ACCCGGGUGGCUCAGUCGGUUGAGCGUCCGACUUCAGCUCAGGUCAUGAUCUCACAGUCUGUGGGCUCAAGCCCCACUUCGGGCU
rnacentral:tRNA from 1 species